CAACAGGGAUUGCCCUAGUAACGGCGAGUGAAGCGGCAACAGCUCAAAUUUGAAAUCUGGCUCUUUUAGAGUCCGAGUUGUAAUUUGCAGAGGGCGCUUUGGCGUUGGCAGCGGUCCAAGUUCUUUGGAACAGGACGUCACAGAGGGUGAGAAUCCCGUACGUGGUCGCUAGCCUUGGCCGUGUAAAGCCCCUUCGACGAGUCGAGUUGUUUGGGAAUGCAGCUCUAAAUGGGAGGUAAAUUUCUUCUAAAGCUAAAUACUGGCCAGAGACCGAUAGCGCACAAGUAGAGUGAUCGAAAGAUGAAAAGCACUUUGGAAAGAGAGUCAAAUAGCACGUGAAAUUGUUGAAAGGGAAGCGCUUGCAGCCAGACUUGCCUGUAGUUGCUUAUCCGGACUUUUGUCCGGUGCACUCUUCUGCGGGCAGGCCAGCAUCAGUUUGGGCGGUUGGAUAAAGGUCUCUGUCAUGUACCUCCUUUCGGGGAGGCCUUAUAGGGGAGACGACAUGCAACCAGCCUGGACUGAGGUCCGCGCAUCUGCUAGGAUGCUGGCGUAAUGGCUGUAAGCGGCCCGUCUUGAAACACGGACCAAGGAGUCUAACAUCUAUGCGAGUGUUUGGGUGUCAAGCCCAGACGCGUAAUGAAAGUGAACGGAGGUGGGAACCUUUUAGGUGCACCAUCGACCGAUCCUGAUGUCUUCGGAAGGAUUUGAGUAAGAGCAUGGCUGUUGGGACCCGAAAGAUGGUGAACUAUGCUUGAAUAGGGUGAAGCCAGAGGAAACUCUGGUGGAGGCUCGCAGCGGUUCUGACGUGCAAAUCGAUCGUCAAAUUUGGGCAUAGGGGCGAAAGACUAAUCGAAC
rnacentral:rRNA from 1 species